rnacentral:rRNA from 1 species
GAUAACGCAUAUUUGCUGGAAUGCUUUAUGCGUCAAAAGGAUUCGUCUGCCCAAGGAUGGGUCUGCGGCCUAUCAGGUAGUAGUGGGUGUAAUGUACCUACUAGCCAGCGACGGGUACGGGUUGUGAGAGCAAGAGCCCGGAGAUGGAUUCUGAGACAUGAAUCCAGGCCCUACGGGGCGCAGCAGGCGCGAAAACUUUACAAUGCGGGAAACCGUGAUAAGGGGACACCGAGUGCCAGCAUCAUAUGCUGGCUGUCCGGAUGUGUAAAAUACAUCCGUUAGCAAGGGCCGGGCAAGACCGGUGCCAGCCGCCGCGGUAACACCGGCGGCCCGAGUGGUGAUCGUGAUUAUUGGGUCUAAAGGGUCCGUAGCCGGUUUGGUCAGUCCUCCGGGAAAUCUGAUAGCUCAACUAUUAGGCUUUCGGGGGAUACUGCCAGACUUGGAACCGGGAGAGGUAAGAGGUACUACAGGGGUAGGAGUGAAAUCUUGUAAUCCCUGUGGGACCACCUGUGGCGAAGGCGUCUUACCAGAACGGGUUCGACGGUGAGGGACGAAAGCUGGGGGCACGAACCGGAUUAGAUACCCGGGUAGUCCCAGCCGUAAACGAUGCUCGCUAGGUGUCAGGCAUGGCGCGACCGUGUCUGGUGCCGCAGGGAAGCCGUGAAGCGAGCCACCUGGGAAGUACGGCCGCAAGGCUGAAACUUAAAGGAAUUGGCGGGGGAGCACAACAACGGGUGGAGCCUGCGGUUUAAUUGGACUCAACGCCGGACAACUCACCGGGGGCGACAGCAAUAUGUAGGCCAAGCUGAAGACUUUGCCUGAAUCGCUGAGAGGAGGUGCAUGGCCGUCGCCAGUUCGUACUGUGAAGCAUCCUGUUAAGUCAGGCAACGAGCGAGACCCGUGCCCACUGUUACCAGCAUGUCCUCCGGGACGAUGGGUACUCUGU